CCAUUCUUUCUAUUUUAGUACUGGAAAUUCCUUAUUAUGAUCCAUAUAUAAAAAUUGUCUCAUGUUCUCAGGAGGCUGUUACAAGGAGAGUCCUGAGCUUGGGCUACACAAUAAGACCCUUUCUCAUCCCCUGGAAAUCUACCACUUGAGCCACACCUGCAGCUCUGAGACUCUGUCUCAAAAAGCAACAAAAACAGAAGUAAAACCCACACUCAUCUAAUAUUCUAAUUGUGUUGCCCAAAUCUGCAAAGUUACAAACUGUACUGUGGAUUUUGUACAAUAUCUCAGGUCUAGGCCCAGCUCUGCUCAUAAGUUUCUACAACUUGGGGAGAAGAAGCAGCAAUUGCUGGUUGAAUGCCUUAGAGAUGAAGGUGGAAUC